rnacentral:rRNA from 1 species
UACAGAGGUCCCGAGCGUUGUUCGGAUUCAUUGGGCGUAAAGGGUGCGUAGGCGGCGAGGCAAGUCUGAUGUGAAAUCCCGGGGCUCAACCCCGGAACUGCAUUGGAUACUGCCCUGCUAGAGUACUGGAGAGGGAACUGGAAUUUACGGUGUAGCAGUGAAAUGCGUAGAGAUCGUAAGGAAGGCCAGUGGCGAAGGCGAGUUCCUGGACAGUUACUGACGCUGAGGCACGAAGGCCAGGGGAGCAAACGGG